CGGGAGGCAGCAGUGGGGAAUAUUGCACAAUGGGGGAAACCCUGAUGCAGCAACGCCGCGUGAAGGAUGAAGGUUUUCGGAUCGUAAACUUCUUUGAUGAGGGACGAAUAAUGACGGUACCUCAAGAACAAGCCACGGCUAACUACGUGCCAGCAGCCGCGGUAAU
rnacentral:rRNA from 1 species